rnacentral:lncRNA from 1 species
CUGGCUGGCGGUCCCCACGCUGGCUGCUGCUCUUCUCUGUCCCUUGCUGCGACCGGGCUGCUCCUUGUCCCUGUUCCGGUCCUCCCUCACCCUCUGCGUGGCGCAUCUUGUGGCCUCCUGGUUCUGAACUGGUGGAGGUCCAUCUAGGUGGCUUGUGGGAGGAAGCUAGACCUUCAGUACCAGGAAGAAGAGCCUUUCCAAAACUCAGCCUUGGGUCAAGUCCUAUGUUUCCUUUGGCCGUGCCCUUGGAGAGACUACCGCUUGUUCCUUAUACAAAAAAGGCACAAGAAAAGUCACGGCGUGGACUGGAUGGUCCCCGAGAUGCUCCAAUUUAUUCACCUCACAAAUGGCCAGAUAUGUAAUGGGAGAGGGGGUGUGCUGGGGUGUCUUUUAAACCCUAACAGCAUAGGAAGCUAGAAGAAGAAAUCGUCCCGCGAAUCUAGAAUAAAUUUCAUGGGUUAGUUUUAUGGCAAGCAUAUGGUGUUACACAUCAAAAUCUAGUCCUUGUUCAUUUUAACCGGCACAUGAUCUUUUUCAGAACAGUUUUCUCUACUUGAAGUUGCACAAAAUGGACCAGAGAACCUUUUCACCUUUGAAAGUAUUUCCGCAUUCUGUAACUGUUUGCAUUGUGCUUGCAACAAUGUUGCAUUUUGAGGUUACAUCCACUGUUUGAAUUCAGGACUGAAAAAUGUACUGUGCACCUAUUUAUAGGGUUUCAAGGCCACUGAUCCAAAGGAAGAGCUCAUCUGCUUAACAUUAAUAGCUGUAAAUCCAGAGCAUGGGUUCGGGUUAUUCAUUCAGUUGUUAUAGGAAAUAUUAUAUGAACUUUUAUAGCCUGAAGAGAAAAGGUUGUACAUCAAUGUACGUUGAAAGGGAUAAGACAUUGAAUAGGUGAGUCGAUGUGAGCAAGCAUGUGGGUCUAUUUCAUAGGCUUCAGAUGUUAAAAUAUUCUUAAUUUCAAAGGGAUCUAGCGGUAGGAGGCUGAUUCACCUUACUUGAGGAUCUGGGUUCAAUCCCUAGUACCAUUGAGGGAAGGGGUUGGGGGGAUUAAAAAUGUUGAUGGAAGCUACUGGCUAGCUAGGUUUCAACAGUGCAUACCAAACAGUAACAAAGAUGUUAGGCCAGAAGAUACAGGAAUUUGUAGCAAAUGGUUACUGUGGCAACUAUGGGCUAUGGGGGAGGAGGGACACAAAUAUAUGUUCUUGUAUGCAGCAUUCUCCUGGACCACUGUUAGAAAGUUUAGCCAGCCAUUCAGUCCACAGGAUCUUCCACACAAUUGUGGCUUCUUUAGGGAAACAGGUACACUGUGUGUAAAUGUCUCUUGGUAUCAGCUAUUUCAAUACAUUUUCUUCUAAGUAAUACUAUUUUUAUAACUUUAAUUAAUGUACAGAUAUUGAGAAACAUGCCAUCUUAGCUUAGUUCCCUAUCAUGUCAUUUUAUUUUUAAUUCCAGUGGUAUACAAUAUAUGUAUAUAAUAGUAGCAAAGUAAUAGCAAAAUUUUGACCUGUUCUUCAAGAUUCAAGUUUGAAGAAACAAUAGCAGUAAUACCAAUACAAUAUUCUGAGAGGGCUCAUCUACUCCCUACAAUAAUCCAAUGUCAUCCUUUGCUAUUCCCAUUUUACAGAUCUAACACACAACUGGGGUUUGAAUUCAGGUAGAGAUUCUAUGAAGAUUUAUUUCUGGGUUAGGAAAUUUUCCAUAAAGAAAGUCCUGUUUGAGAGAGCAAAAAUCAGACAGAUCAUAAAUAUCUUGCCUAGCCCCUACGUCUAUUAGGGAAAAGCUUUUUUAUGUUGUCCUUCAGUCUCCCUGGGUGCAUAAGAGGCGCGGAAUAUCUAAGUGCCUGGAGUCUUAUUUUGUCUGCUUACUGAAAAACCUGAGACAGACAUGAAGUAUCAGAAACCUAAUAAAAUUCUCUCUCAGAUUCAGCCCUUUCCCACAACCAUGUCAAAACAUGCUUCUGUAUCUUUGUUCCAACCCAUCUUUAGUUUCUUCCUCUUUUGCUGCAUAUACACUUUGCAAAUAAUUUCUUCGCUGCCUCUUUCCAUCUUCAAAAUACACUCAGGAUCCUACUACGUUUUAUGCUGACUUCUAAACCAAACCUAAGUGAGGUCAUAUCAUACUUCUGAAUACACAUAUACAACCACCUUUGGCUUACCAACACAAAGACAAAUCAAAAGUCCCCCUUUUGUGUGUCACCCUACUUUAUGAUCUCCCAUACCUCUUAAUCCACUUUCUGUUCCUACAACACCCCUACUCAAACUCUCUGCACAUUCUUUGCUGAGAGUUCCCCUCUUUUGAUCACUCCCAUAAUGCAUUCUGCGUUCUCCCUCUCCGUCUCCCCCUUCUCUCUCUCUCUCUCUCUCUCUCUCUCUCUCUGUGUGUGUGUGUGUGUGUGUGUGUGUGUGUGUGUGUGUAUGUGUGUGUGUGCGCGCGCUCAAAUACCUUUGCAUUCCUCUCCCUGCCUCUGUUUUAAAUUUUCAUAUCACUCACUAUCAUUUCUUAUUCUCCUUUCCAUUUUCUCUCAUACGUACAGCAGUGUAAUGGAUGUUAUGUUUAACUCACCCAAAUUCUUUGCAUUCUCCUCUGGGCCAAAGCAUAGAACUCAAAAGAGUGAGACUUUGUGAUCUAAUUUGUAUGGCAUGUUAGUUAAUCUUUUCAACUUCCUGGGAUUUUGAAUCAACAUGGAAAUAAAUCUCUGGGCAUACCUAUCUGGAUUAUCUAGAUUAGAUUAAUUAAAGUGGGAAGAUUUGUCCUAAAUGUGGGUAGUACCAUUCCAUGAGCAAGGGUCAUGCUUAGUCUGAAUACAAAGAGAUUCAAGCACCAGCAGUCACAGUAUCUGCCUCUUGCUUGUGGAUACAAUGUGAUCAGCCACGUUCAGCUCCAGCUACUGUUACUUCCCAGCCUGCUGACUAUACCCUAGAACUGUGAGCCAAAACCAACUUUCU